rnacentral:tRNA from 1 species
GGGGUUUUAGUUAAAUGAAUAACAGUUAAUUUGCAAUUAAAAAUUACUUCUAAGUAAACCUUG